CUAUUGGUUUCCCUACUGGUUUCCCUACUGGUUUCCCUCUUGGUUUCCCUAUGGGCCCUGGUCAAAAGUAGUACACUAUAUAAGGAAUUAGGGUGCAAUUUUGGAGGCAACCCUUGUGUUGUUUACAAAGAUGUUUGUACAGUGGGGUUUUUCAAUUGGGGUUGUGGUCAAAGAGGGACUGGACAUUUUAACAAGCGACCAAACUUCUGAGACACCAAUGGCUGAAGUGACUGGGCGAUCCUCAUCAUGUUUUUUUUUUUUUUUUUACUUUAUCCUUCCAAGGCCGUCUCUCAUUGGUUGGUUUGUCCAGUUAGCCAAUCCCCUCUCAUGGAAUCUGCGAUCUACAACAGGAAGUAUAGAUUUUUUUUUAUUUUUAAAUUAGGGUUUUUAAUACGAAAAAAUAAAUGAAAUAAUGUCAUUGGUGAUGUCAUUCUCCACACUUCUGUUGUUGUAGAGCAGUGUUUCCCAAACUAGGUCCAGGGGACCCCAAGGGGGACACCUUUUGGCACUGCACAGCUGAUUCAAAUAAUCAUGCUUGAAGAUUAUUUGAGUAAUCUGUGUAGUGCUAGGGCAAGAACCAAAACAUGCACCCAGGGGGGGGCGGGGCCAGGACCGAGUUUGGAAAACGCUACUGUAGAUUCUCACUGUACUCCCUUUCCUUUUCUAUAACAGCCUCUCUCCCCUUCUCCCUCCCUCCCACAGCCCCUAUCUCCCCCUGUCCCCUAGCCUCUCCCUUUCCCCUAGCCUCUCUCCCCUUCUCCCUCCCUCCCACAGCCCCUAUCUCCCCUGUCCCCUAGCCUCUGUCCCCCUCUCUCCCCUUCUCCCUCCCUCCCACAGCCCCUAUCUCCCCCUGUCCCCUAGCCUCUUUCCCCUAUCUCACUCCUCUCCCCAAGCCCUCCCCCGGCCCCUCCCCCUCUCCCCCAGCCCCUCCCCAUCUCUCCCAGCCCUCCCCUGUCCCCUUGCUUGCUAAUGCAUCUGUUGUCAGCUGAGGACAUGAAAACCAAAUAUUGGAUCCUGUCAGUAAAGAAACUUGCCUGUUAGUGACUAUUUCACCUGUGUAAUACUUGGUUUGACCUGUUUCCUGUCAGUCUGUCAGAUGAUGAUGAUGAUGAUGAUGAUGAUGAUGAUGAUGAUGAUGAUGAUGAUGAAGAGUAACCGUGUGGGGUUGUUAUCUGUUCUAUAGUGAAUGUGGGGGAGGGGGACAAACUAAUGUGUUUGAAGCAGCAGGGAAUAAGACUGAAAUACAAUAAGAACCACAGCAAUGUAGAGAUGAUGAUGGAGGAGGAGGAACAGGCAGAACUUGGAUGAGAC
ensembl:lncRNA